rnacentral:rRNA from 1 species
UACAGGGGGAGCAAACGUUGCUCGGAAUUACUGGGCAUAAAGGGCAUGUAGGCGGUCUUGCAAGUUGGAUGUGAAAGACCCUGGCUCAACCAGGGAAGUGCAUCCAAAACUGCAGGGCUAGAGGCCGAGAGGGGUGAGCGGAACUCCAGGUGGAGCGGUGAAAUGCGUAGAUAUCUGGAGGAACACCGGUGGCGAAAGCGGCUCACUGGUUCGGUUCUGACGCUGAGGUGCGAAAGCCAGGGUAGCGAACGGG